rnacentral:tRNA from 1 species
GCCUUGAUGGCAGAGUGGUUAUGUACUGGUUUCGGGGGGAAUCAGGCACGCGGGUUCGAGUCCCGUUCAAGGCACAA